rnacentral:lncRNA from 1 species
AAAAAAUUAUCCUUAAGUAUUUACAAGUUAUACAGAUAAACAGAUGUUAGUAUGCACAUUAUCUAUGAUAUGAAAAACAAAAUUCUAGCUAGGAAAACGUUCCCGUUGUGAAGCUUAACUUGGAAAAUCCGAUUGUUACUUGGAUCACAUACAUUGCGGUAUUUUUUUUCAAUAACACCACUCCUUUCGAGUUCAUGAUACUU